GAACGAGAUCUUCGGAUCUAGUGGCGCACGGGUGCGUAACGCGUGGGAAUCUGCCCUUGGGUUCGGAAUAACUUCGGGAAACUGAAGCUAAUACCGGAUGAUGACGUAAGUCCAAAGAUUUAUCGCCCGAGGAUGAGCCCGCGUAGGAUUAGGUAGUUGGUGUGGUAAAGGCGCACCAAGCCUACGAUCCUUAGCUGGUCUGAGAGGAUGAUCAGCCACACUGGGACUGAGACACGGCCCAGACUCCUACGGGAGGCAGCAGUGGGGAAUAUUGGACAAUGGGCGAAAGCCUGAUCCAGCAAUGCCGCGUGAGUGAUGAAGGCCUUAGGGUUGUAAAGCUCUUUUACCCGGGAUGAUAAUGACAGUACCGGGAGAAUAAGCUCCGGCUAACUCCGUG
rnacentral:rRNA from 1 species